rnacentral:rRNA from 1 species
UACGUAGGGGGGCAAGCGUUGUCCGGAUUUAUUGGGCGUAAAGAGCUCGUAGGCGGUUUGGUAAGUCGGGUGUGAAAUCUCCACGCUCAACGUGGAGGGGCCACCCGAUACUGCCAUGACUGGAGUCCGGUAGGGGAGCGUGGAAUUCCUGGUGUAGCGGUGAAAUGCGCAGAUAUCAGGAGGAACACCAGCGGCGAAGGCGGCGCUCUGGGCCGGUACUGACACUGAGGAGCGAAAGCGUGGGUAGCAAACAGG